rnacentral:rRNA from 1 species
UACGUAGGGGGCAAGCGUUGUCCGGAAUUAUUGGGCGUAAAGCGCGCGCAGGCGGUUCAUUAAGUCUGGUGUUUAAUCCCGGGGCUCAACCCCGGGUCGCACUGGAAACUGGUGGACUUGAGUACAGAAGAGGAAAGUGGAAUUCCACGUGUAGCGGUGAAAUGCGUAGAGAUGUGGAGGAACACCAGUGGCGAAGGCGACUUUCUGGUCUGUAACUGACGCUGAGGCGCGAAAGCGUGGGGAGCAAACAGG